rnacentral:rRNA from 1 species
CCUACGGGUGGCAGCAGUGAGGAAUAUUGGUCAAUGGGCGCGAGCCUGAACCAGCCAAGCAGCGUGAGGGAUGACUGCCCUACGGGUUGUAAACUUCUUUUGUCAGGGAAUAAAGUGAGGCACGUGUGCCUUUUUGUGUGUACUUGAUGAAUAAGCAUCGGCUAACUCCGUGCCAGCAGCCGCGGUAAUACGGAGGAUGCGAGCGUUAUCCGGAUUUAUUGGGUUUAAAGGGUGCGUAGAUGGGUUGUUAAGUCAGUUGUGAAAGUUGGGGGCUCAACCGUAAAAGUGCCUUUGAUACUGGCAGUCUUGAGUACAGGUGAGGUAGGCGGAAUGCGUGGUGUAGCGGUGAAAUGCUUAGAUAUCACGCAGAACUCCGAUUGCGAAGGCAGCUUACCAACUCCACACUGACACUGAGGCUCGAAAGCGUGGGUAUCAAACAGGAUUAGAUACCCUUGUAGUC